UACGUAGGCAGCGAGCGUUGCUCGGAUUGACUGGGCGUAAAGGGCGCGUAGGCGGUUUGUACAGUCAGACGUGAAAUUCCUGGGCUCAACCUGGGGGCUGCGUUUGAUACGUGCAGACUUGAGUUCGGAAGAGGGUCGUGGAAUUCCCAGUGUAGAGGUGAAAUUCGUAGAUAUUGGGAAGAACACCGGUGGCGAAGGCGGCGACCUGGUCCGAUACUGACGCUGAGGCGCGAAAGCGUGGGGAGCAAACAGG
rnacentral:rRNA from 1 species